AACGAACGCUGGCGGCAGGCCUAACACAUGCAAGUCGAGCGAUGAAGCACCUUCGGGUGUGGAUUAGCGGCGGACGGGUGAGUAACGCGUGGGAACGUGCCCUGGGGUACGGAACAACCAUUGGAAACGAUGGCUAAUACCGUAUGACGUCUUCGGACCAAAGAUUUAUCGCCGAAAGAUCGGCCCGCGUCGGAUUAGCUUGUUGGUGAGGUAAAAGCUCACCAAGGCGACGAUCCGUAGCUGGUCUGAGAGGAUGAUCAGCCACACUGGGACUGAGACACAGCCCAGACUCCUACGGGAGGCAGCAGUGGGGAAUAUUGGACAAUGGGCGCAAGCCUGAUCCAGCCAUGCCGCGUGGGUGAAGAAGGCCCUAGGGUUGUAAACCCCUUUCAGCGGGGAAGAUAAUGACGGUACCCGCAGAAGAAGCCCCGGCUAACUCCGUG
rnacentral:rRNA from 1 species